GAUGAACGCUGGCGGCGUGCCUAAUACAUGCAAGUCGAGCGAACGGACGAGAAGCUUGCUUUUCUGAUGUUAGCGGCGGACGGGUGAGUAACACGUGGAUAACCUACCUAUAAGACUGGGAUAACUUCGGGAAACCGGAGCUAAUACCGGAUAAUAUUUUGAACCGCAUGGUUCAAAAGUGAAAGACGGUCUUGCUGUCACUUAUAGAUGGAUCCGCGCUGCAUUAGCUAGUUGGUAAGGUAACGGCUUACCAAGGCAACGAUGCAUAGCCGACCUGAGAGGGUGAUCGGCCACACUGGAACUGAGACACGGUCCAGACUCCUACGGGAGGCAGCAGUAGGGAAUCUUCCGCAAUGGGCGAAAGCCUGACGGAGCAACGCCGCGUGAGUGAUGAAGGUCUUCGGAUCGUAAAACUCUGUUAUUAGUGAAGAACAUAUGUGUAAGUAACUGUGCACAUCUUGACGGUACCUAAUCAGAAAGCCACGGCUAACUACGUG
rnacentral:rRNA from 1 species